UUUUGGUGAGGUGCCUUCCGAGUUCCCUGGAACGGGACGCCAUAGAGGGUGAGAGCCCCGUCUGGUUGGACACCGAUCCUCUGUAAAGCUCCUUCGACGAGUCGAGUAGUUUGGGAAUGCUGCUCUAAAUGGGAGGUAUAUGUCUUCUAAAGCUAAAUACCGGCCAGAGACCGAUAGCGCACAAGUAGAGUGAUCGAAAGAUGAAAAGAACUUUGAAAAGAGAGUUAAAAAGUACGUGAAAUUGUUGAAAGGGAAGCGCUUGUGACCAGACUUGGGCUUGGUUGAUCAUCCGGGGUUCUCCCCGGUGCACUCUUCCGGCUCAGGCCAGCAUCAGUUCGCCCUGGGGGAUAAAGGCUUCGGGAAUGUGGCUCUCUCCGGGGAGUGUUAUAGCCCGCUGCGUAAUACCCUGUGGCGGA
rnacentral:rRNA from 1 species